rnacentral:rRNA from 1 species
UACGUAGGGUGCAAGCGUUGUCCGGAAUUAUUGGGCGUAAAGAGCUCGUAGGCGGUUUGUUGCGUCGGCUGUGAAAUCCCGAGGCUCAACCUCGGGUCUGCAGUCGAUACGAGCAAACUAGAGUGUUGCAGGGGAGACUGGAAUUCCUGGUGUAGCGGUGAAAUGCGCAGAUAUCAGGAGGAACACCCGUGGCGAAGGCGGCUCUCUGGUACGUGACUGACGCUGAGACGCGAAAGCGUGGGGAGCGAACAGG